rnacentral:lncRNA from 1 species
CAAUUUUGAAGAAAAUAGUACGGUCAUGUCUUCACGAUUUGGAUUUUAUCCAGCACAGUCAGUUCCUUCUUCGUACCCUACUCCAAAUCCUGAAAUUUUCUCCCUCACAAAGAACGCUAGUAAAAACAGCCAGGCCUAGCACCAGCAGGAGAACAAUAAAGUGAAUCAUGAUGCAAAAGAACUGCAUAUGUUUGUGUGGAGUUCCAGUGCUUUACCGACAUCAGAAGGUGAUGGCCUUCACGUGUUUGGUGGGGCAGAUUUUGGAGCAUCCGAGCAAUCUGGACAGUGUGAUCAGGUCGCUAAAGGAAUCAGGAUGUUGGUCGCUGGUCACUCUCAAAACAAGGAAACCAAAGGUAUAUACA